GCGAACGCUGGCGGCAGGCCUAACCCAUGCAAGUCGAACGAACUCUUCGGAGUUAGUGGCGGACGGGUGAGUAACACGUGGGAACGUGCCUUUUGGUUCGGAAUAACUCAGGGAAACUUGUGCUAAUACCGAAUGUGCCCUUCGGGGGAAAGAUUUAUCGCCAUUAGAGCGGCCCGCGUCUGAUUAGCUAGUUGGUGAGGUAACGGCUCACCAAGGCGACGAUCAGUAGCUGGUCUGAGAGGAUGACCAGCCACACUGGGACUGAGACACGGCCCAGACUCCUACGGGAGGCAGCAGUGGGGAAUCUUGCGCAAUGGGCGAAAGCCUGACGCAGCCAUGCCGCGUGAAUGAUGAAGGUCUUAGGAUGGUAAAAUUCUUUCACCGGGGACGAUAAUGACGGUACCCGGAGAAGAAGCCCCGGCUAACUUCGUG
rnacentral:rRNA from 1 species